rnacentral:lncRNA from 1 species
AAAGAGAGAGAGAGAGAGAGAGAGAGAGAGAGAGAGAGAAUAACACAGGAGAGUUAUCCUGGUUCACCAAACCCGGCUACUUCCAGUCCCCACACUUCGUGUGAGAUUAUCCACUAUAGUAUGCAGUUGGUAGAAACUUCUAACCAACACUAUAAGGUCUUGAUCACACCAGAUCAGUCCGUAACCACUGUAUUAUCAACCUCAGCAGGCUUCUACAAUUCUUUGCUUUCGCACAAGAAAGGUUGGAAC